AAGAAAGCAAGGUAUUGGCGCGCCUCAAUUUGAAGACAUGGCUAUGAAUCAUGGAAAAUUAAUUAGCAGCCAUGUAGUUUGAUUGAGCCGCGUCAAUAUCUUGUUUCCAUCA
rnacentral:pre_miRNA from 1 species